AUCUCUGAAUCAUUAGUAGAGAUCACGUUUUUUGCCGCUACGCGAGUUUAAAUUUCAUGAUUCACUUGUAAGCAUGUGCAAAGUAAAGUAUCAUAUGUAUAUGUAUCGAAUGACUCUGCCACCGGAAGUGGAUAAAGUGACAAACUGUAUGAAAAGAUUGCGAAGAAGAUAUUAUAAUGAGAUGGUUGUGCCAUGAGCAAGAGUGAUUCCUAAUCAAACAAGCAUUUAAACAUACAAAUUACACAGAUACCUGCUUAUCUGUAUUAUUUCAGAGCGGAGCAAAGGGUCACUUUAUUUAUUGAGUCAGUUAAGUCAACGAGAUAAAUUGUUAUUUAUACGUUUCUCGUAUUGGCACGGAUGGAUACACGGAUGUAUACACAGCUGGAUACAUAACUUAAUGACUUCAAAUGGUGUAAUAAACAGAUUAAAUUAAUCAGUUGAAGUAAAUGUAAUAUCUAAUUAUGAUUCGUAAGUAUCGUCUAUAAUCUUUGUUCCUGUUCUCUUCAGAUUUAUUUCGAACCACGUAAAAUCCAAUCGACGCAUGCAGAAUAUAAAUUGACUAAGGACGACGAAAAAAGAACCUACAGUUUUCUUGCUGAAAUCAUUCAAGGCUACUUGCUCUGGACAAAGAAUAACGAGGAGGGAUGUUGGAAACUUGAGCUAACUUCCUAAUUCUUUUCUCAGGCCACGUUUCUAAAAAAUUUUCUCUUUCAACCUAAACCGUGGGUGAACACAUGUCGACAAUAGCUACCCACAUAUUUGGAGUUAGGUCAAUCUAUGACCUAAUGUCACUCCUGGUUAUUAACGCUUUCACAGCUGAUAAAUUUGAUACUUAAACAUAUAAAUGAACAAACUGAACAACAUUAGAUAUUAUAGAAUGGACUUGCAUUAAUAUCGCACAAGUUUCAGGAGAUCGAGGCUAGAGGCAAGCGUAAUGAUCAUCCAGAGGCAGACAAGUCUCUCGUAGGUAGAACAGGCCAGCAAAGCCCCUCUAAUGGUGCAGCAAGUUGAAUAAAAACCAGACCAGUCGUGGUAUAAGCACGAAUUCACGUGUAGACCGACUAACGGUGUUAAAUACAUAUACACAAGAAGCAGGGAAUGUAGGGGCCAAGGAAAAGGAUCGAGUUUCCCUACCUCUGCCUCGAUACAACGGUAUCGCCGGUGGACACGCAGCACAGAAAAUUAUAAAAGAAUAUCUGUUUACAGGAAAAGUAAAAUUUGAAAUUUUCAGGUUGAUGUUUUUCUACUAAAAAAGGGGAUAACGAACGACCUUCCGCAACGUCACAAAGGAAUCUUUGCAACUCUACGUCAGAUCAGAAGCAAAAAUAAGCCUGCACACUUUCCCAACCCAUUGAGCAUUGAUCAUUCUCCUCGUUCGUAUCAAGUGGAAAAUAACCUGUCGUUCUGAACGCACGCAAAUCGUGUUCCAUGUUACCGACAUUCCUUCUCCGAGUAAGCGCAAAAUGGAAUAAAAAUAGUCGGAUCGAAGGAACUUGCUCCUUCUCCAAGCGAACGUUCUACAGGUGCAAUGACGAAACAUUCUUUACGUUCAUGAUGACCAUAUGACGAGCGUACGUACUACGAAUAUGUACGUGUGAGCACAGAUACCACCGGAAGUGUCAAUUUAACGGGUUCUCUACGGUACGUUUAUUUAUAAAGUAAAAUGGAACGGCCCGGUUAAGCCUGUUAAUUGAUCGUAGAAACUUGUCAUGCACACCGUGUGCAUUAUGUAUCUGCAUAACAUGAAUUCGGUUACAAGUACAACGAUGGAAUGCAACGGGUGUCAUCAGACGCGUGAAAGAGCCUGCGUGAAUGACGAGUCCUAUGUAUAUUCCAAGGUCUACCAUGGCAAUGAAGGAGAGAUUUAUUCUUUUAUGUGUAUGUACAUACUGGAAGAUUUCGCUUUAACUAUGAAAGGAAAAUUAAGUAUUAUAAUAAUUUAACUAAUAAGUUCCUAAACAACAAACUCUGAUUACUGAAUGAAAUUUACAUCAACAUUUCUUUGCGCGUGUAAAGAGCAAUAUUUAUUCAAAGCAUGACAAAGGUGAAUACGGAAGAAAGGUAUGUCUGAUCGUGAACAAUUAUUCUGUCCACGUGUUCAGUAAUUCACCGUCUGAAUAUCAUUCGCAUUUUUUGGUAAACUACGCUUACUCUAAUAAUUCUGAGCUCCACAUGCUAAUAUGUACAAAGUUUUCCCUUUUUAGAAACACGAUGCCUAACGAGUAGUACAAUCUGCGUAAUCAAUUAAUCAAACUGCGGCAAGGCUGAAUGAAUUAAUGAGGAAUGGUUUUACUUUUUUUUAUUCUACAUUUACCAUGAAUAAUGUAGUAGCAUGGACUUUGGACAGAUCUUUGCUCUUAUGUUACUUGAAAUAUGAUAAAUAAAUAAUUGUGAAGAAGAAGGAAGUGUUGUCGGACGAAGAAAUCUCAGACGACAAGAGUUGUGCAUACCGUUAUUCAUUGCGCGUGGGAACACAGAUAAAGAUUGUAUAAUCUCUUAGAACAGUGAACGGAGGUUUUUUAAUUAACGUUAAGUUGGUCACUGGGGAGUACAUAUGUGCAACAUAGGCUCCCGAACCCUUGGAUUUCGUGGCUAAAAAGGGAGUUAAUUCGUGUACAGGAAGGGAGAAGAACUUUUAGGGUGAUGGUGGACAACACGAUGCUUCGGGUUACAAGCACAUGAGUCACAGGAAGUGCUGGCAGUUCGCGAUAAAGAACAGAUCGAAAUUAUCAUGUGUCGUUUAGGUGGGAUGUGAAUCGUUGAUCGUUAUGCUUCUGGUGAUCUUUUAGUAAAAAGAACAAACGAGCAAGCUGCGAGAAAUCAACCGAGAAAACAAGUACAGAUUUCACUGACGUUAGAUAAACGCUAAUUGCUUUCUAAUUGAGCAAUCUGUUAUUAAUCAAUAGCGUUAUUAAUCAUGAUACGAGGUAAUACGCAUUAUGUAGUCUUUCAAAAAAACAGAGACAACGUAAAACACUGGAGAAAGUUUCAAAAAAUAAAAGUAAAUAUUGGUCAAUGAACCAUAACUUUGACCGUACCAUCAACUUAUAUCUAAUCACCAAUGUCCGUGGUUGUUCAGUGAGAUAGCAUAAAAAUAUCAGGAGGUUGCUUAUCGUCGUACAAAUUCAAGGAUUAGAUAAAUGGUGCAUUCGAAACUUUCAAGAAAUGAACCUGUUACCGUGUGCCCUAACGCUUCAACAUUAUUGACCCAAGCCACGAUAUCGUGUGAGCUGCUAUUUACGUGUAGCUGCAAAGCGUGAAAUUUGGAAGACGAAGCUAAGCAAUUGGAAUUAAAAUUAGAUGAUCUAAACCAUAGAAACUCGUCGUUUUCACGUCCCAACUGAUGGAUUUUAAAUUGCGCCAUGCGAAAAUGCUAUUCACCGGAUAAUCGCAAACUCGAACACGAUUUUUCUUACGUAAUCAAAGACAUAACGGUAGAAGUGAAAGCCUACAUUAAACGCGAAAUUCUACGGGAGCAACCGUAUCAUUUUUUGUAUUUCGUGGCACACCUGGACGGUAUCAUUUCUUUCGUUAGAUAACACGGAAAAUGACAAGUUUCAAUAAUGCAAUUGCAUUAUGAUACAUCGUGUCAUCUGCAAUUUCCUGUGAAAAUUUUGUAAUUUUCGUUUCAUUUACUUUACACGUUGCUAGAUGAUUUCAAAAUUAAAUCAAAUUAUAAUUUAAGAUUUUGUAUCUUUUUUUUUUCACAGAUAUUGAUCACUAAUAAAAAUGAGGAAGUCAGUUCUCAAAGCUAACGAUUGUGUUUGCUUUCUGUCGUUUCUUAGAAACAGGUGAACAGAUGGGUCAAUUUUGUUUACUGGUGAAACUCUCUCUCAACUAAAUAUGAAGGAUAAUAGAAAAAUAAUAAGCUUUCUAACUGACGGGCUCGAGAAGCCUCCUCCUUGGUCUUUCCAGGGCUAAUACUUUGAAACUAAUAUAACCACCGUUAAUAUAACGUAAUAUGAUUAGCGAUGGUAAUAUGAUACGUAUGCCAAUCGAUCGAGAUUAUUAAGCACGCAAAUGUUCUUUGAACAUACGCGGAUCGUUGCGGUGUUUUGUCGCGUCCCAUAUACGUGACACCAUUCUGCCAGAUUCAAAGUCCAUACAACAAAGGCUCUUUAUGCAUUCUUCAACAAUGAUAAAUAUUCCAGGACACUUUUUGUCUCGCUGAUAUUUUUUUUCGAAGAACAAGAGGAUGAUUUAAUCUUUGUUUCUGUUAUAAUGCAACUGUGAGCUUAAAUCAUUCUCUGUUUUGUACAACUAUUUUUGAAUAGAGUACGAGGGUUAAUGCGCUAUUCGUAGCGCAAACGUGUGUUUAAGUUGGGCUCUGCAGUUGUAUCCGAUCCAAAAC